rnacentral:rRNA from 1 species
GGGCUAGCGUUGUUCGGAAUCACUGGGCGUAAAGCGUACGUAGGCGGACCGUUAAGUCGGGGGUGAAAUCCUGGAGCUCAACUCCAGAACUGCCUCCGAUACUGGCGGUCUUUGAGUCCGGGAGAGGUGAGUGGAACUCCUAGUGUAGAGGUGAAAUUCGUAGAUAUUAGGAAGAACACCAGUGGCGAAGGCGGCUCACUGGCCCGGUACUGACGCUGAGGUACGAAAGCGUGGGGAGCAAACAGG